rnacentral:tRNA from 1 species
UCCCUGGUGGCUCAGAGGUUAAAGCAUCUGGCUCCAAUGCAGGAGACUCGGGUUCGAUCCCUGGGUCGGGAA